CCGUAUGUCACUUGACUGAAAAUCAAAAGUGGUAUGAACCUAGUAAAAAUAAAAAUUCAUUUAAUGUUCAUAGCCAAUUUGCAGAAAUAUCGCGACAUUCUCACAGUCAGCCCAUCCAAGUUCCUCAAGAAAAGUACCAAAUUCUAUUCAUAAUGCGGUCAAUACAUGCUUGUAAAGUUACUCAACACGAAUGCCACACCUUACAGGUGCGCUGCUAAGAAACUGUUCAACAGACCAGAACAAUCACUAGUUCAGGCAAAUAUGCGGCUCUAACACACAUUCAAGAUUACAAAGAAUGACUUCAGCAGGAAGGGACGAUAUCAUGUAGAAGCGGACAGAAAAUGCCUGAAUGAAGUCGUCCCAAAAUCUGAAGCUGAUCUCAUUUUAGUUGACUGUUUGACUACUAAAAGCAAACAGAAGCAAUUUCUCAUUAGUCGACAUACUACACUUUCAUGUAACUAUUCAUCCCAUUUUGGCCCAAGAGGAGGUAGAAAAAAGAAAAAGACCCAAAAAAGCCACAGAAAAGUGGGAGAAUACGAGUAUAGUAGAUACUAUGACCAAAGAAAUUCCUGCAGAUAUAGGCUGUCAAGACCCCAGAUUCGGAAUCCACAACCACAACUGUGUUGAUCCACUCUGCAAUGAGCAUGAUUGAACAUUCUCAAAGACAAAAACAUGCUACAGGGACACUGAUUGCACGAGCAA